GAUUGCACUGGUUGGCGAAUUAAUUUUCUGAAAUUUAUUUAUUCUUGUCGAGGACAUGGUAAUACGAUGUGAAACAACAGUACAACACGACUGCUAGCCAGAGUACAUGCAACAAGUCGUUUCGUACCAGCUUGCUCUACGUGUCAACUUUAAGAAUAGUUACUGAUAUGGUGUGGGCACAUGCCAGGAAACACUUAAACGGGCCCACAAGCGCACAAACAUACGGAUAAACACACCAGCAGAAGGGGCCACAAGCUUCAUGAUCCAGUCUGGGUGCGAAGACACUGAUGGAGUUCCUGUUGGUCCUGGCUCCCUUUACGGCGGCCGCUGCGUCCCAGUACCACAACCAGUACCGUCAUGUUCAACACUGUUUCCCUGUAAACACGCAAGGCUAUUAUGAUAAAGCUUAUCCCUACGAUCAGGAAUCUGUCCAUGGCUGCCGUACCGGUGCCAAAAUAGCUUCCUCAAACGGUAUUACUGACAUCUCUGAAUUUCACAAAGGAAAAAAUACAUGUGAUGAAUGCA